CCCAUAUAUACCGUAUUACGAAUCCCCAUAUGGAAUUUACUGACCCCAUAUAUACCGUAUUAGGUCACUAGCACACUAUGUAACGAAUUUAUCUUACCGACUAUUACGAAUCCCCAUAUGGAAUUUACUGACCCCAUAUAUACCGUAUUACGUCACUAGCACACUAUGUAACGAAUUUAUCUUACCGACUAUCUUAACGUGUGAAAUUAAGACUAGUGAUUCUCAAAAUGAGCAAGUCUUCAAUACUGUUAGCGCUAAGAAAAUACUUCCAUUUAUCCUACAAAAACAGAUGCCAACAAUAACGACUUGUAAGGUUUAAAUGUGUUUUAUGAAUUUGUUUCAAUCUUAAUCAUCAAUUUCUUCGUCUGUUGGAACUUUUAAGAAUUUUUCUCAGUACCGUUUUGUUUUUACAAAGGGACAUAACACCAUUACUAACCGUGUAUGAAAUAAGCCCCGCCCCUUCUUACCUAAUAAGGAAUAUAAAGGGACGUAACUCCACUACUAACCGUGUAUGAGAUAAGCCCCGCCUCCCUACUAACCUAAUAUCAAAUAUACACGGUUUGCACGCGGACGCUUUUAACCAAUCUUAUUCCUGGAAAUGUAUAGGAGGUAAGAUAA
rnacentral:lncRNA from 1 species